rnacentral:rRNA from 1 species
GUAGGGUGCGAGCGUUAAUCGGAAUUACUGGGCGUAAAGCGUGCGCAGGCGGUUGUGCAAGACAGAUGUGAAAUCCCCGGGCUCAACCUGGGAAUUGCAGUUGUGACUGCACGGCUAGAGUGUGUCAGAGGGGGGUAGAAUUCCACGUGUAGCAGUGAAAUGCGUAGAGAUGUGGAGGAAUACCGAUGGCGAAGGCAGCCCCCUGGGAUAACACUGACGCUCAUGCACGAAAGCGUGGGGAGCAAACAGGAUUAGAUACCCUGGUAGUCCCACGCCCCUAAACGAUGUCAACUAGUUGUCGGGUCUUAAUUGACUUGGUAACGCAGCUAACGCGUGAAGUUGACCGCCUGGGGAGUACGGUCGCAAGAUUA